rnacentral:rRNA from 1 species
CCUACGGGUGGCAGCAGUAGGGAAUCUUCCACAAUGGGCGAAAGCCUGAUGGAGCAACGCCGCGUGGGUGAAGAAGGUCCUCGGAUCGUAAAACCCUGUUGUUAGAGAAGUAAGUGCGUGCGAGUAACUGCUCUCGUUUCGACGGUAUCUAACCAGAAAGCCACGGCUAACUACGGGCCAGCAGCCGCGGUAAUACGUAGGUGGCAAGCGUUAUCCGGAUUUAUUGGGCUUAAGGGGAACGCAGGCUGUCUUUUAAGUCUGAUGUGAAAGCCCUCGGCUUAACCGGGGUAGUGCAGUGGAAACUGGAGGACUUGAGUGCAGAAGGGGAGGGUGGAACUCAAUGUGUAGCGGUGAAAUGCGUAGAUAUAAGGAAGAACACCAGUGGCGAAGGCAACUCUCUGGGCUGUAACUGACGCUGAGGUUCGAAAGCGUGGGUAGCAAACAGGAUUAGAUACCCUAGUAGUC